UGACGACAAAAGCAAAGCUUACUUUCUCGAUGCUGGUUUCAAUCUCCGACCACCACUGUGAAGCGAACUCCCGCAAUUUCUGUGUCGUCGCUGAGCGCCAUUACCCUCGCAAAAACCUCUGCGGCCUUUCCCUUUACCCGAUGACGAGAUCGAAGCUUCUACUUCGCCUGAGAUGCAAAUCCCAUUCUGCAACUUCAACUCCGGCGAACUCUCAAACCUCGACCACCUCUGACAAACUCUGAAGCUUGCGACAUCAUUGGGUUCAACCAAUUUCGAUCCUUGUCACCAAUUUCCCAUCAUCUCUCUCGAUCGCAAUUUCAAGAGAUCAACCUGGGUUUUUCAUUUCCGGUGAUGUCGUCGCCGUCGACACUCUCUGCUAUCUUCAACUGCCUUCACACGUCACCAUUCAAGCCCUAAAGCCUCAGUUCCUCUUUGAUUCUUUCCGAUAGUGAAACUAGAUGCAAAUUUUUCUCAGACUAGAAAAAAAAAAUUUCAUCUCUUGCGAUUCCUCUUUGCUGUUACUCUUUGUAACCUCACCAACGAACCAAGUCGUCUUGUUCGUUGUUCCGAUGAUUCCAGUUACUCCACCUGAAGCUAACAUCUCUUCACCAUAGCUUCUGAGUCCCGUGAAAUCAUAAUAUUGUUUUAUGAUUUCUUCUUGUAACUGCUUCCGAGAAUCACUGUUCUCUUAUCCUUCUGCUCCACCUGGAAUCAAAGUGUCCUCACCGUAAUUCCAGCUGCCUCCAGGUAACUCCUCUAACCCAUUAAUCAAACUGAUUUUAUUUUAUCGACAUAAGAACAUCUCCGAAUAUGGACUUGUUUCUAUGUUCUUCUUCCUGCGAGAGCACACUGUCGAUAAUGGAGUUACCUGGAGCUGCACCACCCUUCAAACUAGGUUGAGAAGGUCGCAGCAAACCUGAGCUUUCUGUCCAGGUUCUUCGGAUGCAAGUGAAUUGAGAUUUAAGAAGCUAGUUGGAUGGCAUAGAACAGAACAGAAGAGCGUUUUGCGACUGCUCUGACAUCUAGCCUUGCCACGACUUCCUGAGCUAUUUUCGAUUGGACGGCUCACAGAUCUUUGUUUCAAACUCACAUUAAUCUAUGCGAAAGGAGUUGAGGGUGUUGUGAUCUUCAAUCAAGUGGUUGCUUUUGCUAGAUGUUGUCGUCGGAGGAAGAUUAAUUUCACGGAAAGUUGGUUCCGGCGAAGCUUGCAAUGCGGCACCGCUUGCAAUGCGGCACCGCUUGCAAUGCGGCACCGCUUGCAAUUCCUAGUAUAUUCAAUAUCAACACUUGUAUAGACACGUGUUCUUCAUGCCUUUUGUUUGUAAUACAUAUCAUAAUUCGCUCUGCGCUUGUAAUGUAUUUGUGGGCUAAACUCACCCUCUGUAAUUGCCCCUUGGGUUUUCAUCAAAUCAAAUGGUUGACAAAAAAAAAUGUGUGUAUGCGUUUGACUAAACAAGAUUAUACCUGACUAGAUAUUAAUAAUAAUUAAAAAUAUAGUUCUGUAUAUGAUUAGACUAGACAGAAAAAAUCUCAGAUCUAAACUUGGCUUGCACCUUGUGCGGACUCGAAUUGUUAUUUUAUAUGUUUUCAUUAGUAUUGUGUUAUUGUUUUCUUGUAUAAAAUUUAUAAGUAUGUUCUGCUAUC